UUGGAGGGCAAGUCUGGUGCCAGCAGCCGCGGUAAUUCCAGCUCCAAUAGCGUAUAUUAAAGUUGUUGCAGUUAAAAAGCUCGUAGUUGAAUUUCGGGAUCAGUAGGUUGGUCAUGCCUAUGGUAUGUACUGGCUUUACUGGUUCCUCCUUCUUGAUGAUCUGUAAUGUCAUUAAUUUGGUGUUGCAGGGAGUCAGGACUGUUACUUUGAAAAAAUUAGAGUGUUUAAAGCAGGCAUACGCUUGAAUACAUUAGCAUGGAAUAAUGAAAUAGGACGUUCGAUCCUAUUUUGUUGGUUUCUAGGAUUGACGUAAUGAUUAAUAGGGAUAGUUGGGGGCAUUAGUAUUCAAUUGUCAGAGGUGAAAUUCUUGGAUUUAUUGAAGACUAACUACUGCGAAAGCAUUUACCAAGGAUGUUUUCAUUAAUCAAGAACGAAAGUUAGGGGAUCGAAGACGAUCAGAUACCGUCGUAGUCUUAACCAUAAACUAUGCCGACUAGGGAUCGGAUGAUGUUAUUUUUAAUGACUCAUUCGGCGCCUUACGGGAAAC
rnacentral:rRNA from 1 species